rnacentral:rRNA from 1 species
GGACUACUGGGGUAUCUAAUCCUGUUUGCUCCCCACGCUUUCGUGCCUCAGUGUCAGUUACAGUCCAGAGAGCCGCCUUCGCAACUGGUGUUCCUCCUAAUAUCUACGCAUUUCACCGCUACACUAGGAAUUCCACUCUCCUCUCCUGCACUCAAGUUUCCCAGUUUCAAAGGCUUACUACGGUUGAGCCGUAGCCUUUCACCUCUGACUUAAGAAACCACCUACGCACCCUUUACGCCCAGUAAUUCCGGAUAACGCUAGCCCCCUACGUAUUACCGCGGCUGCUGGCAC